rnacentral:rRNA from 1 species
AUUGAACGCUGGCGGCAGGCCUAACACAUGCAAGUCGAACGAGUGGCGGACGGGUGAUUAAUGUCUGGGAAACUGCCUGAUGGAUGGGGAUAACUACUGGAAACGGUAGCUAAUACCGCAUACCAUCAGCUGUGCCCAGAUGGGAUUGGCUUGUUGGUGGGGGAACGGCUCACCAAGGCGACGAUCCCUAGGUGGUCUGCGAGGAUGACCAGCCAAACUGGAAAUGAGACACGGUCCAGAAUCCUACGGGAGGCAGGAGUGGGGAAUGUUGGACAAUGGGCGAAAGCCUGAUGCAGCCAUGCCGCGUGUGAGAAGAAGGCCUUCGGGUUGUAAAGGAAUUUCGGCAGGGAGGCGGUACCCGCAGAAGAAGCACCGGCUAACUACGUGCCAGCCGCCGCGGUAAUAC